AGAGAGAAGCUUGCUUCUCUUGAGAGCGGCGGACGGGUGAGUAAUGCCUAGGAAUCUGCCUGGUAGUGGGGGAUAACGUUCGGAAACGGACGCUAAUACCGCAUACGUCCUACGGGAGAAAGCAGGGGACCUUCGGGCCUUGCGCUAUCAGAUGAGCCUAGGUCGGAUUAGCUAGUUGGUGAGGUAAUGGCUCACCAAGGCGACGAUCCGUAACUGGUCUGAGAGGAUGAUCAGUCACACUGGAACUGAGACACGGUCCAGACUCCUACGGGAGGCAGCAGUGGGGAAUAUUGGACAAUGGGCGAAAGCCUGAUCCAGCCAUGCCGCGUGUGUGAAGAAGGUCUUCGGAUUGUAAAGCACUUUAAGUUGGGAGGAAGGGCAGUUACCUAAUACGUGAUUGUUUUGACGUUACCGACAGAAUAAGCACCGGCUAACUCUGUGCCAGCAGCCGCGGUAAUACAGAGGGUGCAAGCGUUAAUCGGAAUUACUGGGCGUAAAGCGCGCGUAG
rnacentral:rRNA from 1 species